UGUUCCACGCCACUGCCGUGAUCGGCGCCGCACUCCUGACCGGGCACGGCAUCGCCCGGCGUGGUCUUGGGCUGACCGCGACCUUUGGUUUCAUCGUGGGCUCAGCCCUGUUCGCCGGGGAUCUGACAAUGCGCCAGUAUGCCGGUCAUGGAUUGUUCACAAUGGCCGCACCGACCGGCGGCACACUCCUUAUUCUGAGCUGGCUGGUGCUGGCGAUCGCCGCAGCCUGGC
rnacentral:misc_RNA from 1 species